CCACCCCCGUGGGAACACUGGGAGCCUGCACUCCACAGACCCUCUCCUUGCCUCUUCCCUCACCUCAGCCUCCGCUCCCCGCCCUCUUCCCGGCCCAGGGCGCCGGCCCACCCUUCCCUCCGCCGCCCCCCGGCCGCGGGGAGGACAUGGCCGCGCACAGGCCGGUGGAAUGGGUCCAGGCCGUGGUCAGCCGCUUCGACGAGCAGCUUCCAAUAAAAACAGGACAGCAGAACACACAUACCAAAGUCAGUACUGAGCACAACAAGGAAUGUCUAAUCAAUAUUUCCAAAUACAAGUUUUCUUUGGUUAUAAGCGGCCUCACUACUAUUUUAAAGAAUGUUAACAAUAUGAGAAUAUUUGGAGAAGCUGCUGAAAAAAAUUUAUAUCUCUCUCAGUUGAUUAUAUUGGAUACACUGGAAAAAUGUCUUGCUGGGCAACCAAAGGACACAAUGAGAUUAGAUGAAACAAUGCUGGUCAAACAGUUGCUGCCAGAAAUCUGCCAUUUUCUUCACACCUGUCGUGAAGGAAACCAGCAUGCAGCUGAACUUCGGAAUUCUGCCUCUGGGGUUUUAUUUUCUCUCAGCUGCAACAACUUCAAUGCAGUCUUUAGUCGCAUUUCUACCAGGUUACAGGAAUUAACUGUUUGUUCAGAAGACAAUGUUGAUGUUCAUGAUAUAGAAUUGU
rnacentral:lncRNA from 1 species